CGAAAUAGUUGGGCCAUCAUGUCUCCGCCUUGAAUCCUGACAAAAAAAAAAAAAAAAAGGUUAUAGGAGAGCUGAAUUAUUUAAAUUUUUUGUCUUCACGAGAAGGGGAGGUUUCCUUGGAAAGAUCAAAUUUCCUCUGAGGUGCUUCAGAGGGAGUGCAGCUACCAUAAUAUUCAGCAAGUGUGGACCAGUGUGACUUGAGAUUGAUUUCUAGCAUCUCCUAUUUUAAAAUGAUCUCACAGGUAAGCUGAUGAUGUGAAACAUUUGUAAUGGCUUCAGUUGUUACAUGAUAAACAGACUUUUCCUUUAUUGUCUUUAUCAUGGAAUCACACUAUUAAAACAGCAUACCACAUCAAUGAUAUACUGAAGAACAUCCACCAUGCAAGUCAUCCUUCAUUCAUAUUAACGGGUCAGUUUUCAGUAUUUAACAAGACACUUUUCACAGAGAGAGCACAGCUAAAUUCACCUGCGCAUUCAGAUUCACACUACUAAAACACCAGCACACUGGCUUCAUGAUAUCUCGCUGAUGGUUCUGUACAUGACGGAAAAAUCCCUGGUGCAUCAGGCAUGUUGAUAAAGGGUCGAGUCAAUGAGAGGAGCCCCAGCAACCAGAGAUGAUGACAGCAAUGUCAUAAUGGAUGUUACAGACAGGAUCAAAACAGAUUACGCAAAGCACCUCUGCUGUCACAUCCUGAUGAAUCUGACAAUAUUCUCUCCAUCAGGAAGGAUUCAGUCACUUGGGCAGUAAGGCAUACACAUACUUGUCUCUUCUCUGAGACAUUUUGACACCAGUAGGUUAUUAUAUUGCACUUUAGAGGACCCAACUGAGUAAAUCUCACAAGUAUUAAAAGAUCACAGAGUUCUGUAUGAAGAGGACAAAAACAUGGUGGUAAAACACACAUGUUGACUUUAUCAUAAAGUUAGUGUUUUUCUCCCUCAUUAAGGGACUGAGAUCUCAGAUGGCAAAAAAAAAAAACAA